rnacentral:rRNA from 1 species
UACGGAGGGUGCAAGCGUUAUCCGGAUUCACUGGGUUUAAAGGGUGCGUAGGUGGGUUGGUAAGUCAGUGGUGAAAUCUCCGAGCUUAACUUGGAAACUGCCAUUGAUACUAUUAGUCUUGAAUAUUGUGGAGGUCAGCGGAAUAUGUCAUGUAGCGGUGAAAUGCUUAGAGAUGACAUAGAACACCAAUUGCGAAGGCAGCUCGCUAAACUGACAUUGACGCUGAGGCACGAAAGCGUGGGGAGCAAACAGG